GCGGAUUGCAGGCCUGGCGUGUCAGGCUCAGCACUCCAGCCAGGGGCUGACCCGGUGUGACAAGGUUACCAGUUCAGAUGCCACAGAAGGAAGCGUCAGCUGGACUUUCUCGGCAUCAGAUGGGAAUGUCAUGGAUAAGAAAAAUGCCUUCCCCGAUGCAGCAGGACAACCCGCGGGUGACAUCGACUUGCUGGGAAUCCCGAGCUGGCUUCCUCGGCUGCAGGAAUUCGUGGGACGGAGCAGAGCCGCGGAGAGCCAGGCCCCCGUCCAGUGAGCACCAUCCGUUCUCAGCACGUGAUCGCAGCCGGAGAGCCCUGGGGCCCUUCCACUUGCAGAUACCUGGGUGUUCUGAUCACGGCUGGGAUGUUGCAAAGGUUGGAAAUCCUAUCUCUGGUUCCAGCCAAGCUAUUGAGCAGAAAGUGAAGUCAGGAGGCUGCAGUGAAGACCCAGAGCCUGGAAGAAUGCCUGGCACGCAGCCCUUGGUGGGAAAGCUGCAGAGUUAAUUCCUAAUUCAAGAAAAGGAAACAUGGGAAGAGACAGAUGAAAAGUUAUGGGUUGUAAAGUAGCACAAAAAGAAAAACUUUCAGUUGCCGUAUUGAAGGGGGACAGAGGAGAAACCCUCUACUUGUGUCCCCUCUGUCAAGCCCUUUGUGGAAUAUGGGUAAACUAUGUCCUUUCCACUGUGUAAGGGAAAAACUCCCUGAAGUGGCUGGAGUGAUGAAACAAUGUCUUCUCAUGAGAGCACCUGGCGCCCAGGGUGCCGUGCGAGCUGCCGAGCCGACAAGCCCCGGAACAGGCGGCAGGUGAGCCCCAGACCUUCUUCUGGGCCUGACUCCCAGCCUCCCUGCUUCCCACUGGUGACACCUUGGGCAGCUCACCUGCUCCGAACCUCGGUUUUCUUGUCUAUCACAUGGGGCCAAGUGAGUGCAGACUUCUCAAGGUCGCUGUGUAGACUGAGGAAGAUGACGCCCAGGCAAGGCAGCCUGCUGCCUGGUACACACCGAACGAGGCUAUUACUUUUUAUCGUGCUGUUAUUUACAUACCAGCCGCUGCGCCAAGGGUCAAGCAUUGAAGGUACGCCGAUGAUCAGAACAUCCACCGACAGUUUUGAUGUUUAGUUGGGUAGAUAGACAAGAAACAAAUCAUGAGUUAUCUACACGUCACUCUGGGAAUGCGGGUUAGGAGUUCGUGGGUUCUCGGUGGGGAGGCCAAGAAAGGUUCUCCCGCAGGGUAUUCAGGGAAUCCUGGAGUGAGUGCCGUGUACACGAUCACACGUGUGUUCUAUAGACGAGCCGACGCUGACCCUGGGUCCUCAGACUCGCCGCUAGGUACAGGGGUCAACGCUGUACGCACAGGAAAACUCAUAGAAUAAAUAUUUCAU